UUUUUAUUUAAUUAUGUUGUCUUAGAUUUAUGUUUGGCAACCUAAAGAGUUAGACUGUGUGUUUCAUUAUCUUUUGAAAUAAUACCUGGCUGUUUGGCAUUGUAUAAGCUUUAGAAGAAAGGUGCAGCCUUCAAUUGCCGGAAUACGCUGGCUGUUUACAUGUACUGAGCGCUUCCUGUCUUAACUUCUUUCCCUUUUUCUUAAGUUGAUCAGAGAUCUUUUGAUACCCUUUAACAGUUUUGUACACAUAGUAAUAAGUGCUCUUAGCUCUAUAAUUUAUCUUUUGUGCAUUGCAAUUACAACUAGAUAGUAAGAAGUGAUUUAGAGAAGUGGCCCACCUCAACCCUUUUUUCGAUGGAUAAAAUCCUUUCUUUUUCUGCCACUGCUCCCUCCAACACACAUUUUUUGAUAGUACCACACUGUCCAGUGACUGAAUUGCUCUAAAUAAUGUCUUGUACAAAGAUAAGAAGAAUAUAACUGAACAGUUGAAGAGAAAUUGAGUUCUGCCUCAUUUGAAAAGGAUAACGUAUGAUAUGGAAAAAUAUUCCGGUUUCAUUCAUUGAGGCAUCAAGGUGAAUAGUGUCUAUACACUGAUACCAUAUUGAGUCUGUCUGCCACUGAGUUAAUGAUCUGUCAUGCUUCUGACAGACCUACAUGCCAUGAUUAUUUUUUUUUAAUAUUCAUUGGCCAUCUCAGCAGAAGGCCGGAGUUGGCAAAGAAUCUGCAAGGCUCUGUCUUAACAAAGUCAGAUGUGUAAAUUGUAACUGACCAGGGAGUGGAGCUGAGAACUGUCCUGAGCUACCACAGCUCUUCAGCUGUUCUGAAAGCUUUACGCACUCUUUUAUUCAUUGAUUUUCUUUCAUUGAUGAAAUCUUUAGCUGUGUGGGAGAAAAAGUUAAUACCUUAGGAAAAUAGAGAAUUUUAUGUUUAUGUGCCAGGAUGUUAUUAUCAAUCGUCAUUUGAUCACUUUCUAAAAAAUGUAAUUGAAAUAUAUUUACUACAUCAGUUCAUUGCCAGAAUGUACACCGUGGCCUGCUACUGUUUAUUUACAGAUUUUAUUUGGCUUCUGUUU
ensembl:lncRNA